AGCGAACGCUGGCGGCAGGCCUAACGCAUGCAAGUCGAGCGGCCGUAGCAAUACGGCAGCGGCAGACGGGAGAGUAACACGUGGGAACGCGCCCUUCGGUUCGGGAUAACUCAGGGAAACUUGGGCUAAUACCGGAUACGCCCUUACGGGGAAAGAUUUAUUGCCGAAGGAACGGCCCGCGUCCGAUUAGCUUGUUGGUGAGGUAACGGCUCACCAAGGCGACGAUCGGUAGCUGGUCUGAGAGGAUGACCAGCCUCACUGGGACUGAGACACGGCCCAGACUCCUACGGGAGGCAGCAGUGGGGAAUAUUGGACAAUGGGCGCAAGCCUGAUCCAGCCAUGCCGCGUGGGUGAUGAAGGCCCUAGGGUUGUAAAGCCCUUUCAGCGGGGAAGAUAAUGACGGUACCCGCAGAAGAAGCCCCGGCUAACUUCGUGCCAGCAGCCGCAGUAACAC
rnacentral:rRNA from 1 species